UUAAAGACUAACUGCACAGAGUACAGGACAGGCAUGUUCCAGUCAGAAGGAAGGACCAGGGUGGCAAGGAAAAGCCUUCCCCACCACUGAGCACAUUUACAAGGAGUGCUAUCACAAGAAAACAACUUCCAUCAUCAAAGACCCCCAACCCCACCAUCCAGGCCAUGCUCUCUUCUCGCUGCUGCCAUCGGGAAGGAGCACAGGAGCCCCAGGAUCUGCAGCACCAGGAACACUUCAACCAUCAGGCUCCUGAACCAGCUUGGGUAACUUCACACUAUAACUCCACAACCUAUGGACUCACUUUCAAGAGAAACAGUCGACAGAGACCCUUCAUCAGGAGUGGAAAGGGAGGGAGAAGAAGCCAGAGUAAGAUGAUGCAAGGUGGGGAAGGAGUUCAAGUGGCUGGUAAUAGCUGAAACCAGGAGAGAUGGAAGAAAAUCAGCUUGAUAACAGAAGCAGAGCAGAUGUAGAAGAGGGAAGUGGAGCUGGAUGCUAUCAGCUUAUCAAUUUCAUCAGAAAAGAAUAUCAAACAGAAAUUGCUGAUUAAAAAUAAAGGUUC